ACCGCGGUUAUACAAAUAAUACAAAUAAAAUUUAUUAGUAAUAGUUAAUUUGUGUUUUAAUAAAUUUUAAUUUGAAUUUUUUAAGUGAAAUUUUAAAUUUAGUUAAUUUUAUAUUUUUUUUAAUGAAGCUAAAAACCUUUAAUAAUAAACUAGGAUUAGAUACCCUAUUAUUUAAAGAGUAAUUAUUAAUACUUGAGUAGUAAUAGUUAUGAUCUUCAAACUUAAAGAAUUUGGCGGUGUUUUAGUCUAUUUAGAGGAAUCUGUUCUAUAAUCGAUAAUCCACGUUGGACCUUACUAAAAUUUGUAAUCAAUUUGUAUAUCGCCGUUAUCAGAAUAUCUUAAAAGAGAAAUAAUUUUCUUAAUUUAUUAUUAUAAUUGAUGUCAGGUCAAGGUGCAGUUUAUGUUUUAGUAGAAAUGGAUUACAAUAAAUUUAUUUAUACAGUGAAUUAUUUGAAAUAAUAAUUUUAAGGUGGAUUUAAAAGUAAAAUAAUAAAUAUUAUUUAUUUGAUUAUAGCUCUAAAACAUGCACAC
rnacentral:rRNA from 1 species